rnacentral:misc_RNA from 1 species
GCAAACUUGGUCAUUUAGAGGAAGUAAAAGUCGUAACAAGGUUUCCGUAGGUGAACCUGCGGAAGGAUCAUCAAUAGUAUAUCCUAACAACCCGUGUGUGUGUAUGUUGUAUACUCUGCGCUUACACCACACAUCUCUUGUGUGCACUGUUGUAAUUAUGUAUGUGCGGUGGCAUAUUGAUGGACUGGGAGCGUAUUUGAAGUUGUCAUGCUUUUGUGUGGCACUCCUUCCGGCCCGUCAUUAUACUACUGCCAUUCUUGACAAGCUCUGUGUGAUAAAUAUCAAUGUGAAUAACAGGUUGUAUGUGGGUGCCGAGUAGUGAUCUCUCAUUGCUCUCCGCUUCACUAUAUGCAAAUAUAUCAAUACAACUUGCAGCGAUGGAUCUCUAGGCUCUGGCAUCGAUGAAGAACGCAGC